rnacentral:lncRNA from 1 species
GGACACUAACUAUAAUGGCCUAUACAGGAAGGCUCCCCCCACCCCCGUGUCUCUUUAAUAAACAACUUAAAAUCUGUCGCAUUAUCUCUAUUCCGUUCAAAAGAUCAUUUGAUUACUUAUCGCUUAACUAUCAUAGCUAUAUUUACUUUUCUUAGAGGCAAAAUAACCCAGAGCAAGGCAACUCACAGCAUGAGCAUUUUCCCUGCUGCUGCUCCUGCUGUAGCGGCUGUACAUGUAGUCGUUCUUGUGGUAUCUCCAGAGGCACGUUUGGACGCACUUGCUGCUCGAGGGAGAAAACGUCCAUGAGAACGGAACGGAUGGAAGUAAUGAAAACACUGGUCGUGAACUAUUUGAAAGACCGUUAUUCUGCUAGAUGGAAAGAACUCACCGCAAAAGCAACAGAACAUCGAAAGACCGGCGAUAACCCUUAAAUUUCACAUCAACAAGAACGUAGUUUUAAAGAUCGCCUCCUUUUAACAAUAUACUGGUAGAUGCAUAUAUGGGUGUCUUUGAUUUGCCGGUUUCUUUCAUGCAAGUAAACCCUGGCCAGAAAAGAAGCUGCAACAGUUGCAAGGGCAUCUUCUUCUUCUUAUUUUUUGUUAAUAUAAGUAUUUUGGUCGGUUUAUUGUGGUUUGUUUUGGUUUCCGUUAUUCUUUUGCAGAUUUGUUUAUUACCAUAUAUUUUUUCCUGAGGAAAAAUCAGACCUAAGCGCAAAGUAAUACAAAGUUAGUUUGGUAAACCUCUCUACCAAAUUCUAUGAACGAAACUCUAGGAAAUCUAGGAGGAAGUUUGUGUUGUUGCCCAGCAACCAUGACUUCAUAGGAGUAUAGGACUUCGUUAAUAGAACCAGACCAUGCGUGAACUUUUGAACUCAAACUUCAAGCUUAUUAUCCCAGUAGGAAAGUUUUAAGUACCACCAUCACGAUUUAAAAGAUCUGUGGAGAGUUAAGUACAUUUCUAUAUAACCGUUUUGAGCACCAGCCUGAGAUUGCGGCCGAGUAGACGAAUCAGGAACAAACUUUACCUUCAGUCAAAACUAGGUACAAAUAUAUCCAUUUUUAGUUUAUAGUUUGGCGUUUAUGCUGAAACAGAGCGUUAAAAUAAACUUCAUGGUCGAUUUUUAUUAUAGACGAUUUAUGUUGUCGUUCACAAUUAUUAACUAGCCGACUAAUCGCAACGAUUGUACACAGACAAGUUUUUUUCUGUACAAAUUAACCCAGUAAAGGUCAAUCUUCUCAACCAGAGGUUAAUGGCGUGGGGUGCCAAUAGGUAAUAUAUCAAACACAAGGGCCCGUGUUUCAUCACAUUUCCUGACACCAAGAAGAGACUCACAUGGGAGUAUCUUUUAAAAGGACUUCGGGGCGUAUGUAAAUUAGACACUGUCUUGAGUGUUAAACGAAGAAAUAAGAUCGCAAACAACCAUACUAACUGGGAGUCUUGACGAGAUUUUACUGAUAGCAGAGAUCUGACAUUUAGAAUAUGUAACAAGUAUAUACCAUGAUGGCCAAGCCAAUGAAAUUACACUAUCCAGUGAUUCAGUUUUUAAUAAUUACUGAUAACUGAGAAACCAGCUGAAACUCUUACUGAUCGCCGAGAAAUAGCGGCAAAUUUCACCGAUAAGCGAUAUAGUACCACCCCAAUCCAGACCUCCACUUAAAGAUCGUAUAUACCAACCACGGUCACCGGUUUCCAGAGUAAUAUAUCAAACGCUCGUUACAUUUUGACGAAAGAUACGCUAUAGACUAGGAGUUUCCGUAAACAUUUCUCUAGCAUACAACCGUUUACCUAGAAUUUCGAAUAUGAUUGUUCGGAUAUACCAACCACGGCCGGUCGCCGGUUUCCUGAGUAAUAUAUCAAACGCUCGUUACAUUUUGACGAAAGAUAUGUUAUAGACUAGUAGUUUCCAUAAACAGUUUUCUAGCAAACAACUGUUUACCUAGAAUUUAGAAUAUGAUUGUUUAAAGUUUUAGAAUCGAAAUCCUUUUCAGACGAUGAUACGAUAGAAACUACGUAGAAAAUGUACAGCCAGAGCCAAACUAGAACGGGAGUCGCCGAGAAUUGCAUCGAACGUCAAUGAGUUGUGCGUUGGUUUCUGUUUAACCUCGGCGAGCUUGAGCCAAGAAAAAAGGAGAGAGAAUUGCACGUGAAAUUGGGGGAAAACGUUCAACAGUUUCCCGUUUUUCAAAUGAACACACUCACAAGACUCGCCAAGUGUUAACUAGAGAAUAUGAAGAUUGCAGGGUAAGCGAGAGCGCCAGUGUGGACUACGUGCUUCAGUCAAAUCUCGUUCCCAUUUGGCUCGGGCUUAAGGCUAUAUAACCUUCAUUCAUUCUUUCUUCAAGGAAAUAAAUAAUAGCUUGUGUACGCA